rnacentral:rRNA from 1 species
AUUGAACGCUGGCGGCAGGCCUAACACAUGCAAGUCGAACGAGUGGCGGACGGGUGAGUAAUGUCUGGGAAACUGCCCGAUGGAGGGGGAUAACUACUGGAAACGGUAGCUAAUACCGCAUACCAUCGGAUGUGCCCAGAUGGGAUUGGCUUGUAGGUGAGGUAACGGCUCACCUAGGCGACGAUCCCUAGCUGGUCUAAGAGGAUGACCAGCAAACCUGGAACUGAGAAGCGGUCCAGACUCCUACGGGAGGCAGCAGUGGGGAAUAUGGCACAAGGGGCGCAGGCCUGGUGCAGCAAUGCCGCGUUUAUGAAGAAGGCCUUCGGGUUGUAAGGUACUUUCAGCGGGGAGGCGUUACCCGCAGAAGAAGCACCGGCUAACUCCGGGCCAGCAGCCGCGGUAAUAC